AUGCCCGGGCGGGGAAGCCCGAGAGUUGGCUCCCGGCCGGCCCAGGGCCCCUCCGGCCCGCAUUCCCGAGGCCUGAACGGCGAACAGGUUCCCCGCACUGGCCUGGCUGUGCCCUGGGGCCGGGGCGGGGCGGGGGGCCCCUCGAGGCCGUCCCCUGCUUCUCACCAGCUCCCCUUCUCCCUUUCUUUCUCCCCGCUCCGGACGGGUCCCCUCGAGCAAGGAGGAGGCUGGGUAGCGGCCAGCGGCCCCCCCCCCCCCCCCCCCAGGACCACACCGGCGCCAUCCGGCUCCCUCCUGCGGGACCCAGGACUAUUUAUUGAAGGCAUCCAGCAUCUCCAGUUAGCAGUACUGACUUUUUUCCCCCAACACUACAUCAACACUCUUGGCCUGGAUCUGGACACAGAAGACUCCUGUUUCAAGAAAAUACAAUCAUCUCUCAAAUCCUGUAAUUUAUAUGCAGUUUAAACUCACUAGGUAUUGAAAGCCACCCAAGUGUCCCACAACAUAGGGUAAAAUAUAAUCAAUCAUUCGGUGUAAUAUUAUACAUCCUUUAAAAAUGUUAUUGGAAAAUGUUUUAUGAUCUGUAAGUCAAAAUAACCCUUUCCCAUCGUUUCUUUCUCCCUGCUGCUCCCUUAUACCCACGCUUCUAUGUUCCAAUUGGCAUGUAAACUUGUCUCUCCGGCCAAAUGAGUCAGUCAUGAAGGGGAACGGCAAUUGAUUUGAACAGAUGUGUGUCAAUGUUACUUGGAAAACUAGAUGCCAAUAACCAGGGCCACAAAAAAAGGGCAGUGGUUGCAACUCUGUAAAAAUUUAUGCCUGCCUACAGACAAUGACUAAAGGGGGACCCCCCCCCCCCAGGAAAAGAGUUGGAUACACGCCAGUGCUGGGAGACUGAUUGUAUGCUGCUUUGGAUUUUCCAUUAAUGCAAGAUAACUGUCC
rnacentral:lncRNA from 1 species